rnacentral:tRNA from 1 species
GUUUUAAUAAUUUAUAAAAAAAAUAUUGGUCUUGUAAACCAAAAAAGAAAUCUUCUUAAAACU